CUCGCGUCCACCCGCUGGCUGGGGGGCCAGCGGGACCGGAGGGUGGGGAGGGGCGCGGGCCGCCGGGCUGGCCACGCCGGGGCCUCGGCCCGGAGUCCACAAGCUCAGGCUCCCGGGGACCCGACUCAUGAAGGCGGAAACUGGGACGCAGAGAGGGGAACUGGCCAAGGUCACACGGGAGCUCGCGGCCGGCGUGGAUGAGGAGACCAACGGCAGAGACAUUUUAAAAAGAAGACCCAGGGACCUGCCCUGUGCUCAAGUGGUUAGGUUCUCUUGCUUGCUUCAGCAGCCCGGGGUUUCGUUGGUUCGGAUCCUGGGUGUGGACAUGGCAUCACUCAUCAAGCCAUGCUGAGGUGGCAUCCCACAUGCCACAACUAGAAGGACCCACAACUAAAAAUACACAACUAUGUACUGGGGGGCUUUGGGGAGAAAAAGGAAAAAUAAAAUCUUAAAAAAAAUAAUAAAAAGAAGACCCAGCUAGAAGUGGCCAUGAGUCUUCUUCAGGUCCAGGGGGAGCACUGCUUCUCGGGGGACCCUGCAUAUUUCGAGGGUUCCUCUCUGGAGCGUGGCUGGGGAGCUGGGUCUCCUCCUGGCUCUGCUCACUGACCUGGUGACGUUGGGCGUAUAUGUCUUUCCCUCUCUGGGUCUGGUUUCC
rnacentral:lncRNA from 1 species